rnacentral:rRNA from 1 species
UACGUAGGGGGCAAGCGUUGUCCGGAUUUAUUGGGCGUAAAGAGCGUGUAGGCGGCUGGGUAGGUCCGUUGUGAAAACUCGAGGCUCAACCUCGAGCUGUCGGUGGAACCGUAAGGCUAGAGUCCGGAAGAGGAGAGUGGAAUUCCUGGUGUAGCGGUGAAAUGCGCAGAUAUCAGGAAGAACACCCGUGGCGAAGGCGGCUCUCGUGGGCGGUAACUGCGCUGAGGAGC